rnacentral:lncRNA from 1 species
UUUUUUUUUUUUUUUUGCUGUUGAGUUGUAGAAGUUCAUUGCAGCACUAUUCACAAGACAUGGAAACAACCUAAAUUUCCAUUGACAGAUGAUUGGAUUGAGAAGAUGGGGUAUAUAUACACAAUGGAAUACUACUAAGCCAUAAAAAAGAACGAAAUAAUGCCAUUUGCAGCAACAUGGACAGAACUAGAGACUCAUACAAAGUGAAGUAAGUCAUAAAGAGAAAGCCAAAUACCAUAUGAUAUCACUUAUAUCUGGGAUCUAAUAUAAGGCACAAAUGAACCUUCCCACAGAAAAGAAAACCAUGGACAUGGAGAAUAGAUGUGGGGAGGGGGAGUUCUGUAAUACACAAAUAAACACAAAAAUCAAUUUCAAUUGGGUUUUUUUGGGGAGGGGGAGGGAGUGGGAUGGAUUGGGAAUUUGGGGUUAAUAGAUGAAAACUGUUGCCUUUGGAAUGGGUAAGCAAUGAGAUCCUGCUGUGUAGCAUUGGGAACUCUGUCUAGUCACUUAUGAUAGAGCAUGAUAAUGUGAGAAAAAAGAAUAUAUACAUGUAUGUGUAACUGGGUCAGAUUGCUGUACAGUAGAAAAUUGACAGAACACUGCAAAUCAGCUAUAAUGGCAAAAAUAAAAAUCAUUAUAAAAAAUCAAUUUUAUUUGUAGGUUCCAGCAAUGACACCAAAAUUUAAAAUACAUAUAUAGGAGUUCCCAUCGUGGCAUGGUGGAAACGUAUCCAACGAGGAACCAUGAGGUUGCAGGUUUGAUCCCUGGCCUUGCUCAGUGCAUUAAGGAUCUGGCAUUGCACUGAGCUGUGGUAUAGGUUGCAGAUGUGGCUCGGAUCUGGCAUUGCUGUGGGUCUGGCAUAGGCCUGUGGCUAUAGCUCACAUUACAUCCUUAGCCUGGGAACCUCCAUAUGCCGUGGGUGUGGCCCUGAAAAAGACAAAAAAUAAAAAUAAAAUAAAAUACAUUUGCAACCACUAAUGAAAAUAAAACAUUUAAGUACGAAUCUAACAAAACAUGUCCAGGACUUGUAUGCUGAAAACUCUACAACAAUGAUAAAAGAAAUCAAAGAUCUAUAUAAAUGGGGAGUUAUACCAUGUUCAUGAAUUGGAAGACUAAACAUUGUAAAGAUGUCAGUUCUCCCCAAAUUCAUAGAUUUAUUCCAACUCCUGUCAAAACCCAGUAGGACUUUUUUUUGAUACAGACAAGACUAUUCUAAAAUUUAUGUGGAAAGAUAAGGGAACUAGGGUAGCUAAAAUUUUUUUAAAAAAUAAAGUGGGAGCAAUCUACCCAGUUUCAAAACUUAUUAAAUAACCCAGAUUGUGUGGUAUGUGCAGUGGGACAGACAUAGAUCAAUAAACAGGGAACCCAGAAACAAUCCCACACAAAUUUAUUCCACUGAUUUCUGACAAAUGUUCAGAAGCAAUUCAAAGGAGGAAAGAUGGCCUUUUCAAAAGGCUAUUGCUAUGGAAAGCUUGUGAGGAAAUCUCAGGCCAAAAACUUGGAAAACUGGGCCAGCAAAGAAGGAAGAUAGUGGUGUGAGUGACCAGGUGAUGAGGGGAGGGGAGGGAGAAGGUGCACUCAGCUCAGGAUGAAAGCUGAAAAUCCUGGAUAACAUGUUAUUGCAUCUUUCUGAAUUCAGCUGCUUCUGACUGGUCAGCAUCACAGGCUCUGGUGAUUUUCCCAUCAGCUCCCACACUGCAAACUCAGGUCACCCCUAACUGAGCAUACAGUGCUCCAGACUCCAUUAGCAUUGCCAAUAGCAUCAUUCUCAGGUUGUAUGAGGUAGGAAGAUGGCUCUCAGUAGCUCCAGUAGUACAGGUACCUCCUGGGUUCAAGUCUGCCAGGAAAGAGAGCUCUUCUAGACUUGGAAGAUCCCAUUCAACUUCUGGGAUUCAUUCUUUUUUUUUUCUUUUCCUUUUAUGGCCACACCUGGGGCAUAUGAAAGUUCCUAGGCUAGGAGUCAAACUGCAAUUGUGGCUGCAGGCCCAUGCCACAGCCAUAGCAACACCGGAACUGAGCUGCAUAUGCAACCUAAGAUGUAGCUUGCGGCAACACUGGAUCCUUAACUCACUGAGUGAGUCCAGGGAUGGAACCUAUAUCCUCAUGGAGACUAGUGGAUGUCUUAACCCACAGAACCACAACAGGAAAUCCCUGGUGUUAAUUCUGAUAGGACCAACCUGGUAACCCCUCCCUCCCAAAACACACACUCCUGAAAUAUAGCUAGGGCGACAUUCUGAGUGGUAGGCCAGGCCUGGGCAAGUUUCCACCACUACUGUCAGGUGUGGAGCCUUACCACAUCCAGGUGGACUAAAGGAGGAGUUGGAUUCUUCAUGAUAAACUCUGGCCAUUGUGAUAGGAGAAAGGAAUAGCAAAUAGUCAAAGCAGCAAAUGUCCACUCUAGCCUCGCAAAGAGGAAGUUUCAUGGUUAAAGUCCAGGUAUUUGCUCCCAAUAUUAAUCAAUGUUCAACAGGAAUUUUAAACUAUAGUUUCUCUUUUCUUGACUUUAUCAUAGGAUGCAGAUUAGUUGUCAGUGCCUUUUCUCUGGCUGGGACAUUGUUCGUGGCUACCCCGAGGGUAGUCUCAUAUUUGGAGGCAUUAUGCAGCUUGAGAUGGCUCAGGUUUCCAUUUUCAGUCUCCAUUCCUACAUCAUUAAGUUCUAGCCCCUUGACUAGGAGCCUAAAUGAAAUGAGCUGGCCCUGCCUGCAGGAAGGUUUUGGGGUGACCUCUCAGUGAAAAACUGACCAAAGUUCCCUGAAUCAUGUUUUUCUGAACCAAAGGCCCAGCAAACAACAGCUUGGCUCAUCAAACACCAGAAGUGUAUCAUCUGACUCCUCCACUCUCAGGCUCACCAUCCAUAUCUAUGGGAUUGACACCUUAUACUCCUUGCUGCUGACCCCCUCUUUUGGCUCCCUGACACCCAGGGAAUGUGUCCACUGCCAACUUGGGAGGCUAUGCUUUUUCAGUGGUUUGCAUUACCUUCUUGGCAAAUGACCACUCAAAGAAGUGGUGUUAUUUCAUCUCAUCGCCACUCCCCCUGGCAAAACUCCCUAACCUCAACCUUCCCCCCUGAUUUCUACUUUGAGUAUCAAUGAACUCUUGCUCCUCCAUUGACUACUAAGCCAGUAUUUGAUACCUGAACUUGCUGCAAUAUAUCUGUCCUGGGUUUUUGUUGUUGUUUCCUUAUUUUGCUUGUGUGUGAGACCUUUGGUUCUUAAAGUUUAAGUACCUCCAUUCCCUGCUCCUGACAGAUGAUGAAAUGGAGUAUGCAAACCAUUUAGGAAUUUUAUUUAGAAAUUAUUUUAUAAGUCUACAGCAAAGUCUAUGUGAUGACCCUCUUGAAUAUGCAUAAUAGUGAAAUAAACACAUGUGAACCUACCUCAGCUUGAGAAAUUAUUGGUGUACUUCUUCCCCAUUCUCUUUUCUCUAGUAUUCUAUACUCUCCACUCCCACAAUGUCACAAAUAGCUUAAUUUCAGGUUUUCUGCAUCAUUCCUUUAAUUAUUAAUUAUUUUACCCUUUAUGUGUGUUUUUCUAAAUAACAUUACUUUUGCUUGGAUUUUUUCCCCUCAUUUCUUUACUAUCCUGUAUGUUAUUUUACCAUAUAUAUUUAUUUUUCCAAAUAACAUUAGUUCUCUUUCAAUUUAAGUUUACAAAAAAAAAAUGUUCUCUCUCUUCUUUCACUCAAUAUUGUAUUUUUGAAAUUCAGCCUCUGAUGUUACAUAGUUUCCCAUGGUAUAUGUUUUCCACACAUUUCUUCCUUCACAACAUUUUAAAGGCGAUUUUGUGUGCUAAGCUCUUGGCCUAGAUCCUGCCCCAGCGCUUAAAUAUUUGUUCAAUUGCUGAAUGAGACUGAGCUCCAACUGACUAUAACACUGACACUUGCUUUUCCCGCUAGAUGCUCUGCCCUUUGCCCCAUUGCUAAGGAUCCUGCCAGCAUUUCUGCCCUGAGUUAAUUACAGUUAUAAAAUUUCAUGACAAGCCAUGAGAAAACCAGAGGCCUCCCAAAGCGCCCAGGACUACAAUUCCCGGAAAGCUUUGCAGGCGCUCAAUUGCGUCAAUUUCAGUUUACUUUGCCCUCUCCAAGAACUUCCGGUUUCUGUAGGCGGGGCCAAAAGAGUUUUCCAAUGGGCACCUCCGUGGGCUGAGGGGGCGGGGAAAUUGUCCUUGGAGCCUAGUUGGGGAGGUGUGGGUUAGCUGGAAGGUUGCUGGAGCAGCUACCAGUGGUCGUAGUCUGUGAGUGGCGCUAGCUGAACCGGUUGUAUCCCUGCUCCUCUCGCCUCCCCUCUCCCGGGCUCGCUUCUUAUCCCCGGCAUCUCUUGACCCUGCUUCCUUGUCCCCGGUGGGCGCAGCACCCAGCAACCUCCACGCCCAUGGCCACUAUCCCGUGGAGGCCCCCUUCACCACCUGUUCUUCUUCCCCUACCAAGGCAGCUGGGCCCUUGCAAAGAUGCUUCUCUGUGCAAAGGGUACCUGCCUGACGCAGGGCUAGGAGCCCACGUCCCCGGCGGGCUGGGGCCUAGGUGGAAGGCGGGCCUGUGUCUCAGGAAUGCCCUUUUAAGCCCAAAGUUACCCGUGAAUUCGUGGGACAUCGUGAAUCCCUGCUUGGUGUAGGGAGUAAUUUACUUAAGUCUUAAUUAAUCUAACUUUUGCUGUGUGCCUGGCACAAUACAAGCCUGGGGAUACUGUGACUGAGAUACAGCAUGGAACCAGGUAGACAUGGGACUUGGCCUUUUCAGAGCCAAGGUCUUGCUGGAAACACAGGUGAAGCAAGUAAGAACUUAGGGUAUUGAUUGGUUUGAUUAGGAGAAGUGCAGUUUUAUUUUUUUUUAUUUUUUUUAUUUUUUGGUCAUUUUAGGGCCUCACCCACAGCAAAUGGAGGUUCCCAGGCUAGGGGUACAGUCUGAGCUGUAGCUGCCAACCUACACCACAGCCACAGCAACCCGGGCUCCCAGCUGAGUCUGCAACCUACACCACAGCUAAUUGCAACUCUGGAUCCUCAACCUACUGAGCGAGGCCAGGGAUCGAACCUGCAUCCUCCUGGAUAUUAGUCAGAUUCAUUUCUGCUUAGCCAUGAUGGGAACUCCAGGUUCUUUCUCUUAUAUACAGUACAUUCCACUGGGACUUGUCAUGAUCCCCAUUGUGCUCCUGAAACCCAGGCUUGUUUAAUUGGGAAAAUUUCCUGUCUAGGGCCUCAUCAUAUUUGCGUGCAGAGCCUGUAUUCUGCAGUUACAGUGUUUUGCCUUUGCUAGGUGAGUCUGCACUUUGAGGAGGGUAGUGGGGGCCACGUGGGCCAUGUUAUGACUACAGGUGUGUGUCAUGUACCUGAAAGCAUGAAAAAGAAAGUGUGAGGCUUGAGUGUACUUUACUCAUUCAGUCGUUGAACAACAGUUAAGAGCUUACUUUGUGCUUGUCCCUUUGUUUUGGCCCAUUGGGGGGGUUUUGCUGAUUGAGAGAAAAAAAAAAAAAAAAAAAAAAA